rnacentral:rRNA from 1 species
AUUGAACGCUGGCGGCAGGCCUAACACAUGCAAGUCGAGCGAGCGGCGGACGGGUGAGUAAUGUCUGGGGAUCUGCCCGAUGGAGGGGGAUAACUACUGGAAACGGUAGCUAAUACCGCAUACCAUCGGAUGAACCCAUAUGGGAUUAGCUAGUAGGUGAGGUAAUGGCUCACCUAGGCGACGAUCCCGAGCUGUGCUGAGAGGAUGAUCCGCCAAACUGGGAAUGAGACACUGCCCAGGCUCCUACGGGAGGCAGCAGUGGGGAAUAGUGCACAAUGGGCGAAAGCCUGAUGCAGCCAUGCAGCGUGUAGGAAGAAGGCCUUCGGGUUGUAAAGUACUUUCAGCGGGGAGGCGUUACGCGCAGAAGAAGCACCGGCUAACGCCGUGCCAGUAGCCGCGGGAAUUC